UACGGAGGGUGCAAACGUUGCUCGGAAUCAUUGGGCGUAAAGCGCACGUAGGCGGUCUGUUAAGUCGGAUGUGAAAGCCCUCGGCUCAACCGAGGAAGUGCAUACGAAACUGGCGGACUUGAAUAUGGAAGAGGGUCGCGGAAUUCCCGGUGUAGAGGUGAAAUUCGUAGAUAUCGGGAGGAACACCAGUGGCGAAGGCGGCGACCUGGGCCAAUAUUGACGCUGAGGCGCGAAAGCUAGGGGAGCAAACAGG
rnacentral:rRNA from 1 species